rnacentral:lncRNA from 1 species
GGAUCACGCUUUUUUUCCCCCAAAAUUCAUUUUCAGUGACGUGAAUAACUGAACUCUCCACUCUCCGCGUGCCAGCUUCGCUCUCCAAUAGCCAGUAUUUCUGUGACAGAAAUACUGACAGCAAUAUGGGAGAUAUCCUAAGAUUUAUGAAAAUUCAUUUCCGUUGGAUCUGAAGUUAAGAGUGAGGAAGUUUGCGAGAAGCAGGUGCUGCUGUCAGCGAUGUCAGCCAUGGAGGUACAGCUCUGUGUUGUCACCAGCGGCCUGACAUCGUCCUCUGCCUGAGAGUUUUUCAUCUUAGAGAUUCAACAAAGAUGAACAGCAUCUCACAAGAAAUCCAUCCCCACGUCUCACCCUGUCCAUUUUCUACCACGCAACUAGUAACCAAACAUGGGCCAGCCUACCCGUGAGACUGGGUGAGGUCAGGUGUCACGGCCGUGACUUUCUGUUCUCUUUCUAGUCAGACUUCUGUCUCAAGAACUCACCUGCAUGGGCACAUCUUUAAGGGAACUU